GCGUUUAUAGCUCAGUUGGUUAGAGCACCACCUUGACAUGGUGGGGGUCGUUGGUUCGAGUCCAUUUAAACGCACCA
rnacentral:tRNA from 1 species